rnacentral:misc_RNA from 1 species
GAUGAAGAACGUAGCAAAAUGCGAUAAGUAAUGUGAAUUGCAGAAUUCAGUGAAUCAUCGAAUCUUUGAACGCACAUUGCGCCCGCUGGUAUUCCGGCGGGCAUGCCUGUUCGAGCGUCAUUUCAACCCUCAAGCCCCCGGGUUUGGUGUUGGGGAUCGGCUCUGCCCUUCUGGGCGGUGCCGCCCCCGAAAUACAUUGGCGGUCUCGCUGCAGCCUCCAUUGCGUAGUAGCUAACACCUCGCAACUGGAACGCGGCGCGGCCAUGCCGUAAAACCCCAACUUCUGAAUGUUGACCUCGGAUCAGGUAGGAAUACCCGCUGAACUUAAGCAUAUCAAUAAGCGGAGGAU